CGGGCCGCCUUUCAGGGGUCCUACAGUCGAGGAGCUCCGUCCUCUUCGGCGCUCCUCAUCGUCCAUGUUGCUCAAGGAGGAUAUGGCUAUGAGAA
rnacentral:sRNA from 1 species